rnacentral:lncRNA from 10 species
GACCACCACAGCUCACGCUCCUCACCUGAGCCGCAUGUGGGCACAGGUUUACUUGGUUUGUGCUAACUACUAGAAAAGACAUUUUACCUCCCUCUUGCAUAAACAGGAUAGAGUAAAAAAAAAAAAACAUUUUCCUGGCAUUGAAAUCAUCUGAAAGCUACCAGCUGUGACUCCUCUCCAAAACCUGCUUCCCAGCCAAUUCUCAGAGCCAAAAUGGUUGCUGGCUCCCAACCCUCUGGUUUCACCUGGCUUUGCCGAGGAGGAAGCCAGGCUUUAGAGGCCAAGCAAACCGUCCAGGGAUGCAGAGCUGGGAGGUGGCAGAGCCACCAUGGAAACCAGAGUCCAUCUGGUCCUGGAGCCUGUGCUACUUCUGCCGGCUCCCGAGUUUCCCGGGGCAGGGCCUUCAGGGCCCAGGGUGGCCUCUGGGGAGAGUCUGAUGAGGACAGCGAGUGCCUGCUGUGACACCUGGUGGCCGCCGCACUGCAAGGAGCUCCUCUGUGAAGCCUGCCCUGCCUGAUGGUCUGGCAGGAGUUGGAGGUCCCAUCCACAUUCAUGAGGGUGCUUUGGAAUAAAGCCAGGUUUAUUGAGUCCACGUGAAACCUGUUUAUUU